CAGUCGCCGCGGUAAUACAGAGGGUGCGAGCGUUAAUCGGAUUUACUGGGCGUAAAGCGUGCGUAGGCGGCUUCUUAAGUCGGAUGUGAAAUCCCUGAGCUUAACUUAGGAAUUGCAUUCGAUACUGGGAAGCUAGAGUAUGGGAGAGGAUGGUAGAAUUCCAGGUGUAGCGGUGAAAUGCGUAGAGAUCUGGAGGAAUACCGAUGGCGAAGGCAGCCAUCUGGCCUAAUACUGACGCUGAGGUACGAAAGCAUGGGGAGCAAACAGGAUUAGAUACCCGCGUAGUCCCUGUCUCUUUACA
rnacentral:rRNA from 1 species